rnacentral:piRNA from 1 species
UGCAAGCAUCCCCGCCAGGAAGCAUG